rnacentral:rRNA from 1 species
UGGGGAAUAUUGCACAAUGGGCGCAAGCCUGAUGCAGCCAUGCCGCGUGUGUGAAGAAGGCCUUCGGGUUGUAAAGCACUUUCAGCGAGGAGGAAGGGUAGUGUGUUAAUAGCACAUUGCAUUGACGUUACUCGCAGAAGAAGCACCGGCUAACUCCGUGCCAGCAGCCGCGGUAAUACGGAGGGUGCAAGCGUUAAUCGGAAUUACUGGGCGUAAAGCGCACGCAGGCGGUUUGUUAAGUCAGAUGUGAAAUCCCCGCGCUUAACGUGGGAACUGCAUUUGAAACUGGCAAGCUAGAGUCUUGUAGAGGGGGGUAGAAUUCCAGGUGUAGCGGUGAAAUGCGUAGAGAUCUGGAGGAAUACCGGUGGCGAAGGCGGCCCCCUGGACAAAGACUGACGCUCUGGUGCGAAAGCGUGGGGAGCAAACA